rfam:Marinomonas sp. MWYL1, complete genome.
GCAAUGAGUAGAAGCGGUCAAAUUUGGUGUCGAGUUCCAACAAACCAAAUUCGGGCAUUGCUCACUGC